GUAAAAGAAAAAAAGGUGGGAGAUAUUUCUCAAAUCCACUUCUCUGAGAACUCAGAGGGAACUUUCCAUCUUACCUACUUUGGGUAUCUAUUUCCCAUCAUUGGACUUUAAGAUCAUAAAGGACUUCCUCUGCUGAGGACCCAAACUGAACCCCAAGACCAGGCAGUAUUCUUGAUAUACUACUGUAUGCUGCACAGUAAAAUAUUCAAUAAAUCACCUGAGAUAUUCAACACUUUAUUACAAAACAGGCUUUGUGUUCGACGAUUUUCCCCAACUGCAGGCUAAUGGAAGUGUUCUGAGCACAUUCAAGUAUAUUUAUUGACUACAGAUGGAAGCACAUUGCUAAGGAAUGGAAAGCUGCAAGAUAGAACAUGCCCUUCACCUGCGUGGUUGCAUAGAAACCGGUCGUUUGUCUAAAUCUUGAAGAACUCAAGUGGAAAGCGUACUUAAAAAUGUAAAGGUUAGAAUCACAAACUCCAGUUUGAAUUGAAAUGACUGAAAGAUUGUUUCAAGAGUAUAAGAAUUCUAUCUAAAAGAAGCGAAUGAAAGGUAUGUUCUGGCUCCACUACUCUGGUGUGCAACUGCAAGAAUUACAGAGAGUGCCUCAGAGAAACUGACUGGCCUUGAAAACCUAAAACUAUUCAUUGAUAAAAAGAGUGAGUGAUGAUAUGGAGCACCUGGAAGGAAUAGUUUGGUGUUACAGCUCUAAAAAUCUCCAGCAAACUCCAUUAGGUGAGCUUCUAAAUUAUUUCAAAUAUAUGAUUUUCAUCAAAAAUGCCCCUCGUGCUGUGAUAAAACUUAAAUGUGCAUCUGGCUGUUUACCUAUGCAAAGGGAGGGCAAGAGUUGAGGGGAAUCAGGCAGAGCAAUGUGUGUUGAAAGGCUGCAACUGAAGAGAAGGAAGAACUCAGGCAUGGUUUUUAAUGAAUGAUCAAUCAACCUGUUUUACUCACAGGUGGCAUUUCUGAGCUUUAACCUAUGCUUCAUCCCUCCUGAGAAACCAGGAACUCAGCUUGAGGCAUAUUUCUUGAAUACUUACCCUGAUUUUUACUUAAAAGGAUAGCAUCAGGGACCCUGUUUUAGGAAUACUUGUGUCAGCUUAAAUAACAACCAGAGACAGACUCUCUAAAAGAAAGGAUAUUUAUUUAAAGAUAGAGCAUUGCAAUGGCAGUAUGCAUGCCAUAGUAAACUAUGUGAGUAUUCAGGGAGGAAAAGAAAGACAAAGGUUUUUAAAGGAAAAAAAUGAGGAGGAUUACAUCAUUGUUUUGAAAUAAUUAUCCUUGGCUAUAAAGAUCAACAACAAGGGUGAUGCCAGCCUGAGGUUGGACAGGCAGUUGUGGGACAGGUGUCUUUGCAGAGGUAUUUUUUUGUGUAAGGUGGCAAUGGCCUUUGUGCAAGGUUGUGGGUUUUGCAGUUUUUUGUGACAGUUUUUGUUACCAGACAUACACGGAUGCGAACCCUCUCUUUGUGGCCUUCCCGGCUCUAUUUGUCAGGGUUUUCUUAACUUUAGCAAUUCCAGUUUGAUUCUGACAACUAUCACACUUGCAUUUGUGCUUAGAUAUCACCAGGAGUACUAUCAGGAUACUCUGAUAUAUAUUUAUAUUUUAAGGCUAGCUGAGCUGAGGAUUCAGUAGAGGGCAAAGACCAAACUGAGGCCAAAGCGAUUCUCCU